CAGCCGCCACGGUAAUACGAAGGGGGCUAGCGUUGUUCGGAUUUACUGGGCGUAAAGGGUGCGUAGGCGGACUGAUAAGUCAGGGGUGAAAUCCCAAGGCUCUACCUUGGAACUGCCUUUGAUACUGUUAGUCUUGAGUUCGAGAGAGGUGAGUGGAACUGCGAGUGUAGAGGUGAAAUUCGUAGAUAUUCGCAAGAACACCAGUGGCGAAGGCGGCUCACUGGCUCGAAACUGACGCUGAGGCACGAAAGCGUGGGGAGCAAACAGGAUUAGAUACCCCUGUAGUCCCUGUCUCUUAUAC
rnacentral:rRNA from 1 species